CUAAGACAUGCGAGUCGAGCGUCUCUAGCUAUGUUGAGACGCGGCAGACGGCUCAGUAACACGUGGCUAACCUACCCUCAGGACAGGGACAAACCCGGGAAACUGGGGCUAAUACCAGAUAGGCGAAGACGCCUGGAAUGGUUCUUCACCCAAAGGACCUUGGAGACAUGCUUCCAAGUCGCCUGGGGAUGGGGCCGCGUCCGAUCAGGUUGUUGGUGGGGUAAUGGCUCACCAAGCCUAUAACCGGUACGGGCCGUGAGAGCGGUAGCCUGGAGAUGGGCACUGAGACAAGGGCCCAGGCCCUACGGGGCGCAGCAGUCGCGAAAACUCCGCAAUGCACGAAGGUGUGACGGGGCUACCCCGAGUGCCGUCCGCUGAGGAUGGCUUUUCCUCGGCGUUACUAGCCGGGGGAAAUAGGAGAGGGGCAGACUGGUGUCAGCCGCCGCGGGUA
rnacentral:rRNA from 1 species